GCGGGUGUGGCGGAAUUGGCAGACGCACUAGACUUAGGAUCUAGCGCCUUACGGCGUGGGGGGUCGACUCCCUUCACCCGCA
rnacentral:tRNA from 2 species